rnacentral:rRNA from 1 species
ACGGCGGCCGUAACUAUAACGGUCCUAAGGUAGCGAAAUUCCUUGUCGGGUAAGUUCCGACCUGCACGAAUGGCGUAAUGAUGGCCAGGCUGUCUCCACCCGAGACUCAGUGAAAUUGAACUCGCUGUGAAGAUGCAGUGUACCCGCGGCAAGACGGAAAGACCCCGUGAACCUUUACUAUAGCUUGACACUGAACAUUGAGCCUUGAUGUGUAGGAUAGGUGGGAGGCUUUGAAGUGUGGACGCCAGUCUGCAUGGAGCCGACCUUGAAAUACCACCCUUUAAUGUUUGAUGUUCUAACGUUGACCCGUAAUCCGGGUUGCGGACAGUGUCUGGUGGGUAGUUUGACUGGGGCGGUCUCCUCCUAAAGAGUAACGGAGGAGCACGAAGGUUGGCUAAUCCUGGUCGGACAUCAGGAGGUUAGUGCAAUGGCAUAAGCCAGCUUGACUGCGAGCGUGACGGCGCGAGCAGGUGCGAAAGCAGGUCAUAGUGAUCCGGUGGUUCUGAAUGGAAGGGCCAUCGCUCAACGGAUAAAAGGUACUCCGGGGAUAACAGGCUGAUACCGCCCAAGAGUUCAUAUCGACGGCGGUGUUUGGCACCUCGAUGUCGGCUCAUCACAUCCUGGGGCUGAAGUAGGUCCCAAGGGUAUGGCUGUUCGCCAUUUAAAGUGGUACGCGAGCUGGGUUUAGAACGUCGUGAGACAGUUCGGUCCCUAUCUGCCGUGGGCGCUGGAGAACUGAGGGGGGCUGCUCCUAGUACGAGAGGACCGGAGUGGACGCAUCACUGGUGUUCGGGUUGUCAUGCCAAUGGCACUGCCCGGUAGCUAAAUGCGGAAGAGAUAAGUGCUGAAAGCAUCUAAGCACGAAACUUGCCCCGAGAUGAGUUCUCCCUGACUCCUUGAGAGUCCUGAAGGAACGUUGAAGACGACGACGUUGAUAGGCCGGGUGUGUAAGCGCAGCGAUGCGUUGAGCUAACCGGUACUAAUGAACCGUGAGG